rnacentral:rRNA from 1 species
CGGAUGAAGGGAGCUUGCUCCUGGAUUCAGCGGCGGACGGGUGAGUAAUGCCUAGGAAUCUGCCUGGUAGUGGGGGAUAACGUCCGGAAACGGGCGCUAAUACCGCAUACGUCCUGAGGGAGAAAGUGGGGGAUCUUCGGACCUCACGCUAUCAGAUGAGCCUAGGUCGGAUUAGCUAGUUGGUGGGGUAAAGGCCUACCAAGGCGACGAUCCGUAACUGGUCUGAGAGGAUGAUCAGUCACACUGGAACUGAGACACGGUCCAGACUCCUACGGGAGGCAGCAGUGGGGAAUAUUGGACAAUGGGCGAAAGCCUGAUCCAGCCAUGCCGCGUGUGUGAAGAAGGUCUUCGGAUUGUAAAGCACUUUAAGUUGGGAGGAAGGGCAGUAAGUUAAUACCUUGCUGUUUUGACGUUACCAACAGAAUAAGCACCGGCUAACUUCGUGCCAGCAGCCGCGGUAAUACGAAGGGUGCAAGCGUUAAUCGGAAUUACUGGGCGUAAAGCGCGCGUAGGUGGUUCAGCAAGUUGGAUGUGAAAUCCCCGGGCUCAACCUGGGAACUGCAUCCAAAACUACUGAGCUAGAGUACGGUAGAGGGUGGUGGAAUUUCCUGUGUAGCGGUGAAAUGCGUAGAUAUAGGAAGGAACACCAGUGGCGAAGGCGACCACCUGGACUGAUACUGACACUGAGGUGCGAAAGCGUGGGGAGCAAACAGGAUUGGAUAUCCUGGUAGUCCACGCCGUAAACGAUGU